rnacentral:lncRNA from 1 species
AGAAGAGACUCCUCUGUUCACAGAAGCUAAAGGCAGUUCCUUCCCAAUGGCAACUAUGUUUGGAUGUUGGAUCUACACUUUCUCAAGCACUGUGAUCUUCAAAUCAAAGGAGAUUUCUCCCAUUAUAUACUUCUUAUGAUCAACAAAUUCCAUCAUCUCCCCACUAAGAGAAAGUACUCCAAGAUGAUAGAAUGAUUUUAAAGUUAUGGGACUACAACAGCAGCCACAGGAACCUUGAGUAAGUACCAUGAACCCUGACCCUCAGCGUUAAUUUGUAAGCCUUUGGCAGUGAGAUGGAAUGUCUUCCUUCAGUUUGAAACAAAGGAAACCUAUUGCAUCGCACGUAAAUUUGUAUAUUGAUGCUAUAUUGACUUUGUAGCUGCCAUGCCUUCAUACAGACACCUCAUCCAGCCCCCACUGUUCCACUUAUUGUGAUGGUUUGUAUAUCUUUAUUUCAAAGAAGAUCUGUUUGAACCGUGUUUAAUUUCUUCUUUGACCUGCUUUCAUCACUGCCCAUGCCUACCCUGGUGGCAUUCUCAUCCACGAGACUACCACAUCCAUGCCACUAGGUGGCAUUCUCAUCCAUGAGACUACUGCACCCGUGCGCACGUCAAGAAGUAGCCAAGCCAUGGGCUGGAUUGUGCUUUUCCUGAGAGGAUGAAAGGCUUCAUGGAUACAUGCUAGUAUCCAUGUUCCUCUAUUCUCAAGUCAGGCACCAAGAUGAUGUUUCAUACCUGCCUGCCUUUCAAAGUCUCAUAAAUGUUCAUUGAAUAUCCACUCUAUGCAAGGCACUAGGGUAGUCACAGAGGCAAGGUUUGAGCUAAACUACAGGCCCUGCCCUCCAGGAGCUCCCGGUCUCAUGGCAGGGUGCAGAAGCCAGAAUAGAGGGCCAUGGCAUGGGAGAGAACUCUGCUGACCGGGAGCUCUGAAGGGUUAGGGGUCCAUGAGCCUGAUUUAUGGGGUCGUUGCCAUAGGAUUAGGGGCUCCCUGGCAUACAGUGAAUGGAGAGACUAGCAUUGCUGUGUUAUUUCACUGAGAGGGCACCAAUGUUCAGCCUCUGAGACCAGGGGAGGAAAGCAGUGGCCAUGAAUGUUCCCUCCCAUCCCGGGGACUGACUGGGCUCCUCCCACAGUCUCAGACACAGAGGAAGAAGUGUACUCACACUGCCCCAACACCAGUGAGUGGAAAUAUUUAUAGGUCUCUCAUUUGGUUUUAAUUUUUAUUUUUUUAUUUUUCAGAAAUUAAAAAAAAAAUCACACUCACAAAAUUAACCAUUACCCACAUUCCUACCAACAAGAAGUAACCAUUCUUAACCUUGUAAUAUGUUGGUUUCCAGAUUUAUGUUUAUGCUUUAAAAAAUUAUGCAGACAACAUAUUAGCACAUUGCCCCUUUUCUCAUUUGUUUUAAUCCAUGUUCUUCCCAUUUAUACAGGAGCAAUUCUUGCAUUCAGUUAUGGGAUACUAUAAAUGCCUAGUAUAAUGGCAGCAGAGAGAAUUACUAUGGUUGUAUACCUUUUCUCGCUCCUUGCUCCUCAAAUGCCUUAGAGUUUAAAAUCUAUUGUGGAAAGUUUGUGAAAUGCAGAACGGUGAAAAUAAACAAAUUACCAGUGG